CCAGACUCCUACGGGAGGCAGCAGUGAGGAAUAUUGGUCAAUGGGCGGGAGCCUGAACCAGCCAAGUCGCGUGAGGGAAGACGGUCCUACGGAUUGUAAACCUCUUUUGCCGGGGAGCAACGGGGUCCUUGCGAGGGCCCAAUGAGAGUACCCGGAGAAAAAGCAUCGGCUAACUCCGUGCCAGCAGCCGCGGUAAUACGGAGAAUGCGAGCGUUAUCCGGAUUUACUGGGUGUAAAGGGAGCGUAGACGGUUCUGCAAGUCUGAAGUGAAAGCCCGUGGCUUAACCGCGGAACGGCUUUGGAAACUGUGGAACUGGAGUGCUGGAGAGGCAAGCGGAAUUCCUAGUGUAGCGGUGAAAUGCGUAGAUAUUAGGAGGAACACCAGUGGCGAAGGCGGCUUGCUGGACAGUAACUGACGUUGAGGCUCGAAAGCGUGGGGAGCAAACAGGAUUAGAUACCCCAGUAAU
rnacentral:rRNA from 1 species